GGGGUGGCAGGUCCCAGAGCAAGGUGCUGGCGUGGCCAGUUCCUGGUGGGGCCUCUCUGCCUGCCUUGUGGGUGCCCUCUUGCUGUGUCUUCACGAAGCUUCUCCUCCGUAGGUGCAGAGAGACAGCGAGUGUGAGCGGUGACGUUGGACUUUCUUCCACAUUCACUAAUGAGGAAACAGGCUAAGAGAAGUUAAGGACUUUACCUCUUCCUUCAUAAUCCCUCAAUUAUGGUUGAGAGACUUAAGAUGACCUUCCAGCCAGCUACCCCACACAGUCUGCCUCCAGAGGUCUUGUCUGGGCAGUCUCCCCAGAGUGCAGAAACUGGAGUCUUAACCAGGACACAGCCGCUCGGGAUGGCACUGACUCUGGCUCCUCAGAUCAAGUCCGAAGUCCUUCACUGAGAACAAAAGUCCCUUCAGGACAGCUUCUCGGGGCCACGGCUCUCCUUGACAUCCUGCUCUCUGUCCAUCAGCGGUUCCUGACGCCUCCGCACACAGCAAGGUUUGCCCAGACUGCAUCUCCUGCCCCUGCCCGCUCCCUCCCAA
rnacentral:lncRNA from 1 species